rnacentral:rRNA from 1 species
UGACCUCGGAUCAGGUAGGACUACCCGCUGAACUUAAGCAUAUCAAUAAGCGGAGGAAAAGAAACCAACAGGGAUUGCCCCAGUAACGGCGAGUGAAGCGGCAACAGCUCAGAUUUGGAAUCUGGCCCCCAGGGCCCGAGUUGUAAUCUGGAGAGGAUGUUUCUGGCGCGGCGCCUUCCGAGUUCCCUGGAACGGGACGCCGGAGAGGGUGAGAGCCCCGUACGGUUGGACGCCAAGCCUUUGUGAAGCUCCUUCGACGAGUCGAGUAGUUUGGGAAUGCUGCUCAAAAUGGGAGGUAAAUUUCUUCUAAAGCUAAAUACCGGCCAGAGACCGAUAGCGCACAAGUAGAGUGAUCGAAAGAUGAAAAGCACUUUGAAAAGAGGGUCAAACAGUACGUGAAAUUGUUGAAAGGGAAGCGCCCGUGGCCAGACUUGCGCCCUGCGGAUCAUCCGUCGGCUUCACCGGCGGUGCACUCCGCUGGGCGCAGGCCAGCAUCGGUUCUUCUAGGGGGAUAAAGGCGGCGGGAACGUGGCUCCCAUUGGGAGUGUUAUAGCCCGUCGUGCCAUGCCCCUGGGGGGACCGAGGACCGCGCUUCGGCAAGGAUGCUGGCGUAAUGGCC